rnacentral:misc_RNA from 1 species
UGGCUCUGGCAUCGAUGAAGAACGCAGCGAAAUGCGAAAAGUAAUGUGAAUUGCAGAAUUCAGUGAAUCAUCGAAUCUUUGAACGCACAUUGCGCCCGCCAGUAUUCUGGCGGGCAUGCCUGUCUGAGCGUCAUUUCAACCCUCGCCCCCGGGUCCUAGCACCCGGAGGCGGCGUUGGGGAUCGGCCGGGCCUCCCCCCCCCCGUUGCGGGGGGGAGGUGGCCGUCCCCGAAAUAUAGUGGCGGACCCGCUGUGGCCUCCCCUGCGCAGUAGCACUAUUUCGCAUGUGGAGAGCGGCGAGACCCUGCCGUGAAACCCCCUACUUCUCAAGGUUGACCUCAGAUCAGGUAGGAAUACCCGCUGA